AGCGAACGCUGGCGGCAGGCUUAACACAUGCAAGUCGAACGGGCACUUCGGUGCUAGUGGCAGACGGGUGAGUAACACGUGGGAACGUACCUUUCGGUUCGGAAUAAUUCAGGGAAACUUGGACUAAUACCGGAUAAGCCCUUCGGGGGAAAGAUUUAUCGCCGAUAGAUCGGCCCGCGUCUGAUUAGCUAGUUGGUGAGGUAAUGGCUCACCAAGGCGACGAUCAGUAGCUGGUCUGAGAGGAUGAUCAGCCACAUUGGGACUGAGACACGGCCCAAACUCCUACGGGAGGCAGCAGUGGGGAAUAUUGGACAAUGGGCGAAAGCCUGAUCCAGCCAUGCCGCGUGUGUGAUGAAGGCCUUAGGGUUGUAAAGCACUUUGUCCGGGAAGAUAAUGACUGUACCGGAAGAAUAAGCCCGGCUAACUUCGUGCCAGCAGCCGCGGUAAU
rnacentral:rRNA from 1 species